AGUGUCCACGGAAACUUAUAAUCCCAACAUAUAAUUGGGUAUAAACUUUUGUUUUCUUGCUUGAUUUUUGAGUUUUGGCGCAUGUAUAUCUAUAUGUUGUAUUGGGUUCGUAUAUAUAUGUGUGGUUGUACUUGAUUGUGGUGGUGGUUGGAAGUCGUGGGCGUCAGCGGAUGGGUGGUGGCAGGGUUGUGUCACAGCCGCCACGAGAAGAGAAAGGGAGUUGAGGCGAGGCACCGGAGGUUGGACGGCGCUACACGGCCGUGAAAGCAGCGGCGUCGCAAUCGGAAUGUUGAUGAUAGGCUAUGGGAAGGUGGCUCCAUUUUCCCGAUGAACACUUCACCAUCACCCCUGCAUCUCUUGUUCCGAAUCAAUGGGUAUAAUCAAUGUUUCUUUGUUGAAAUCAGUAUAUAUAUAUAUAUAUAUGGGUAUACAUUUGUGUUAUAUUAGUUGAGUAUUGAGUUGAUUGUUUUAUUACUAAGAUUAAUUUGUGCUUAUGUGAUUAAGCGUAAAUUGAGGUAAUAUUUGCUUGAUUUGGAUUAUAUGCUUUCUUAUAUGUAUGAGUACAAGUAUGAUGAUUGUAUACAUAUUUUCGGAAUGGUAUUUCAAGAGUUAAAGUAGUAGAUUAAAGAUGUAGUACAAUACAAAAUAAAGCUGAAAUUCAGGUUGCUGCUGGUCUGAUUUGUAGCACAGUUCUGGGCUCAUUGAGUGAAUUUAUAUGCUUAGUAUUUCUGUGAUAAUGUGCUCCUUGAAGUCUAGUUUAAGUACCAACAAGAAUUUCAAAGUUUCGUUAAUCGAGCUAAAAGUUAUGGCCGCUUGAGUGGGGUAGGUGUGAGAUGAUAUUUGUACUGUGAUAAUGCCUCUGUUUGGAACCAUUUUCUGGGAAGCUUGUAUUGUGUUUGAGCAUUAAGUUCUUGUGGAAUUAUAUGCUUAUUGUAGUCUAGUUUAUUCUCUAAAAAGAUUCAUAGCAUUUAGAUUAUUGAGCUAAAAGUUAUGAUUAUUUUUGUAAGGUAUGCACAGAAUACAAAACUGCUUCGAUUUUUGACUUUGUAAACUAUAGUUAAAUUACUUAAACUUUGAUUUUAAAGCCAAAACUUAUUUUGUAGCCAUUCAUGGAGUCCAGGGUGGUCUCCUAAAAAUUUCAAGUAAAAAUCAUGUAUUUCUGAUUUAUUAAAAAUGUUUGAUUGUCAGUAGCACAUAUUUAUGAGAAUCCUGUUUUGAGGUCACAAAAAGAAUUAUUUUCGUAAAUUCAAAUCUAUGUGUUGAGUUGUGAUUUGUUGGAAUAUAAAUGUGUACUAAUGGUUAUUGGUCAAUAGUUGUUAAUUUACUGGAUCCAUAUAGGUAUAUAUUCAGAGGAUAUAGUAUUCACACCGUUUUAAUAAAUGAUUUGGUGCCUAUGUGUAAUGUUUGAAAUGUAUUAAUUCAAGAAUCCAGAAUAUUUAUGGAUAAGUUUUGUGCAUAGCCAAGUAUUCUGAAACUGAUUUAUGAUAUAAGUUUUAUGCUGACUUGGUGUAAUAAAAUGAGAUUUUUGCAUUAGGAACUACUCAUUACAUUGUGAUAUUAAGGAAGCAUGUGUACAAAUUAUAGUUGAACCACAUAGUAUUUUGGUGGCAGAUGAUUUUUAUAAAAAGGUAAAUUGUGACAUACUAUGGUUUUGAUUUAAAUCUUAAUAUUGACAUCGGUUAAGGAUAUGUGGAUUGAGCAGCCAAAGCUUUAAGGUAGAAUUAUGGGCAUUGUCAUAUUUGUGGAAAGUUAAUAUAUGAAUCACUGAGUUAUAUUUGUGUUCAGAGUAUUAUUAGUUUGUAGUUGUUGAGUUGUUGGUUUGGAAACUUGUUGGGUUGAUUAUUGAUACUAGAUUAAAACAGGUGGAUAGUCCGAUAAAUAGAGGAGAUGCUGCCGAAAUUUUGUUAGCAAUUAAGGAGGUACUGCCAAUGUGCUAGUGGUUUGUAUAUAAUCAGAUAUGAGAUUAUAUACGAAAAGAAUUGGAUAGUCAUAUAUGUAUAAAUAUUGAUGCAUAUGAAUUAUCUGAUGCGUGCUGAUAUGACUAUUUGUUUAACUAUGUGACACUAUGUGUAUAUAUCAUCAGUAUAUAGUAUGUGGAUUCAACGCGAUGGGUAGAACUGGAGUUUCGAUUUUAUGAUUUAGGCGACGAUGUGGAUUGUUCUUCGACUGAAGUAUUAUUAUACUAUCUUGUAGAACCAAGCUAGACGUGCGUAUCGAGGACGUUAAUAAGUAGUCGAAUUGCAAAGCAAGUCGAAUUUGGAAUGAUCUGAUAAGACGAAGCUAUGUCGUGGAUGGAAUCUUGUUAAAAGCAAAGCGAGAAUAAACAGUAUAGGAAAGGCUCUACUAGGUGACAGGAAAAUAGGUUCUUUGAACAAGAAGGAAAGCGAAUAAGGCAAGUAACUUUCCUCUCUCUCUCUCUCUCUCUCAUGCAACUUAUUGAUGAUUGAUGAUAAGUUCUGUCAACCUGAACUACCUUUCGAAUUAUGAAAACAUGAUUUCCUUUCUCAUUGAAUAUGAUGCCUCAUUUUUGAAUACAAGCUCUUUCAUGAUGAUCAUGCUCUUGUAUCCGGUAUAUUGCUAUCUUGAAAUAUCUUUCACUUGAUCGAAUGAUGUUUUCUUUUCAUGGAGUUGACCCCACAAGAAUAUGACACUUGUUUCGGUAAAUGAAACUAAGAAUGAUUUUAGACUUGCAAGUGUCCUAAUGAUUUGAAAGGUUGGUAAGUUUUUAAAAUGAAAAAUAUUUUUUAAAGAAGAAAGUGUUCCAAUUUAAUGGUUUUCCACGGAAUUCUAUUGAUUGGAGGCGUAAGUGGCCGAGUAACGCCGGUCCAGCUAUUUGAUUAUGAAGACCAGUGAGGGCUGGCACAUUAUGAAGACCAGUGAGGGCUGGCAUUUGAAAGGCCAAAUGAUAGUUGCCUUUCGGGUACCCUAUUCACGUCCAGAGGGGCUGUAAAGUCCGGUAUGGGGAUUGUACGUGGCUGAUCACCCGUGCAAUCCAGAGCGUUAUACACUCCAAUCGAGUAAAAUGUUUUAUGAAAAUAAAUGUCCAUGUAAUUGGACUAUUUUGAAAAUGAGAUGAUUUUCGAGAUUGAAAAUGAAGCUUAAAUGAACGUUUUGAAAGAAAAUGUUAUGAAAAGGGAAAUUUUAUGAAAGUUAUAAGGAAUGAAUGGUUUUUAUGAACUUAUGGUUUAUAAAUUGGUUUCUUUGGAAUGAUCCUUAAUUUUGGAACCUAUGUUGAAAAUUUUGUAUCUUUGCUUAUAAUCAGAAACCUCAUAUCUUAUUCAGUUGAACCGUUGUCUUAUUUAUUUACUCUAGUUACUUGCUGAGCUUUUGUAGCUCAUUCUGUUCUUUAUCUAACCCUUUCAGCUAGAUACAAAGAUGGUUCGCUUGUUUGGGUUGCGCUUAAGAAUAACGCUAGGCAAGGAUUUCAAGUGAGUAUGUCAGACCUCGAUGGUCAGGAUAAGUAUUUUGGAAGAUGUCAAGGGAACUAGCUGUGAUUAAGAUGGUAUAAUUUUGAUUCAGAUGUAAAGCAGAUUUAAGUUUUGGUUAUCAGUUAUUCUUCUUGUCGAAGUUUAUCUGGUAAUGUAGAAUAUGUUGUAUUAGAUUUAUAUUUUCGAUUUUCUGAUUUCAAUACUAUAGCCUGUAUGCGAUCCUGUUUUCAGGGGGUGAAAUUGAAUUUUACUUUAAAUCAUUUUAAAAAUAUCUAGGUUUCAAAAUAAUUGUUUUUAGCUUCUUUCAAAAAUACAGGUUUUAAAUUGUUUUUCUUUUAGUGGCACCAAAUCCAGACCCCCGGAUUUGAGGGAUGUCACAGUUGGUAUCAGAGCUACAGGUUAUAAGGUAUUGAAAUCAGAAUGUAGGUGGGAGCAACGUGGUUAAUAAGAGAGAUGUGCCAAGUGAAACCUCUUGUAGAGGUAAGUUAAGACUAUUGGGUAUAGUCUCUGUUAAUAGAAUUGAGAUUGAGUUAGAAUAUUGAAAUCGAGUAUUCAUUUGGUAUAUCAUAGUUCCUAAUUUUAGAAUUAAUGAGUUUGGUUCUCAUGAGAAACAUGAUAGACCACAUUUGGUUCGGAAUCGUUAUUUAGAGGUUUUAUGAUUAGAGCUAGUUGAUGUCAGACCAAUGGUUAUUUUCACACUCUCUAGAGUAUUCCUUGCUACGGAGAGAGUUGUUUGGAGAAUUGCCGAUUGCCCCUUGUGAAUUGAAUAUAGAGUUUGUACCUGAUUAUGAAAGCUGCAGGGUCAAAGUAAGAGCCCCCGCAUAUAGUUAAGUAAUGAAUGCUAAAGUUUAUCUAGAACACGUGUAGAUUAGUGGAUAUACUGAUAUAGUACUCAUGAGUAAAUUAAGACGUCAACACUUAGUUGUGAUGGUUGUACGAAACUCGAUAAGAUUUUGGACUGUGCGAAGCUGAGCAGGACUCCUGAUGAUCCUGGAUAUUUAUAUAUCAAUCUUCAAAGACCCUGCGAGUUGAUGAUAAAGUACAAUAUUAAGCAUUAUCGAAUACUGAGAAGAAAGGACUAUAAUCGAAUAGAGGUCCAUUAGAAGAAUAGAUCGAGAAAAUACAUGUGAGACUCUUGGUAAUACCUUCCUCUUUUGUCG
rnacentral:lncRNA from 1 species